GAAGGGAUUGUGCUGCUAAUGCAAGAGCUGCCUAUCUGGCUGGGUGCCUACUUUCCCCCUUGAUGCCUUGUCUACAAUGAUGAUUUCUACGGAGGCAAAGGGAUUUGAGAAAGAUGUGACAGCUCCCAGUAUCUCACAGAGGCCUAGGUGAUCUGCAGUGAUCCCACUGGAUUAACAGGUCCCUCUUCUCUGGUGCUACAAGCCUGCCAGACCUGCGCUCAGCACUCACCGUUCUCAGACAGAAGGGGCAAGAUAAUGAACCUAGAUUACACCUGGACUUGAGACAAAUCGCAGAAUCUUGCAAGAGCCGAGUGAUGCCCUCACCUGGAGGAUGAUUUGCUGAUUCCUGAAGCCACGUUCUGUGUUACGAGGCACCACUCUGAAUGGUAGGGGAUGGACUAGACUACAGGCCGAGUAGCUGGAGUAUAGAGACACUCCCACCCCCUCCAAUAAAUGGCUUA